rnacentral:rRNA from 1 species
AGGUGGGAUUAGCUAGUUGGUGAGGUAAGGGCUCACCAAGGCGACGAUCCCUAGCUGGUCUGAGAGGAUGAUCAGCCACACUGGAACUGAGACACGGUCCAGACUCCUACGGGAGGCAGCAGUGGGGAAUAUUGCACAAUGGGCGCAAGCCUGAUGCAGCCAUGCCGCGUGUGUGAAGAAGGCCUUCGGGUUGUAAAGCACUUUCAGUCGUGAGGAAGGUAGUGUAGUUAAUAGCUGCAUUAUUUGACGUUAGCGACAGAAGAAGCACCGGCUAACUCCGUGCCAGCAGCCGCGGUAAUACGGAGGGUGCGAGCGUUAAUCGGAAUUACUGGGCGUAAAGCGCAUGCAGGUGGUUUGUUAAGUCAGAUGUGAAAGCCCGGGGCUCAACCUCGGAAUUGCAUUUGAAACUGGCAGACUAGAGUACUGUAGAGGGGGGUAGAAUUUCAGGUGUAGCGGUGAAAUGCGUAGAGAUCUGAAGGAAUACCGGUGGCGAAGGCGGCCCCCUGGACAGAUACUGACACUCAGAUGCGAAAGCGUGGGGAGCAAACAGGAUUAGAUACCCUGGUAGUCCACGCCGUAAACGAUGUCUACUUGGAGGUUGUGGCCUUGAGCCGUGGCUUUCGGAGCUAACGCGUUAAGUAGACCGCCUGGGGAGUACGGUCGCAAGAUUAAAACUCAAAUGAAUUGACGGGGGCCCGCACAAGCGGUGGAGCAUGUGGUUUAAUUCGAUGCAACGCGAAGAACCUUACCUACUCUUGACAUCCAGAGAACUUUCCAGAGAUGGAUUGGUGCCUUCGGGAACUCUGAGACAGGUGCUGCAUGGCUGUCGUCAGC